rnacentral:rRNA from 1 species
GCGAACGCUGGCGGCAGGCCUAAUACAUGCAAGUCGAGCGGCCCUUCGGGGCAGCGGCGGACGGGUGAGUAACGCGUGGGAACGUGCCCUUUGGUACGGAACAACUGAGGGAAACUUCAGCUAAUACCGUAUGUGCCCUUCGGGGGAAAGAUUUAUCGCCAUUGGAGCGGCCCGCGUUAGAUUCGCUAGUUGGUAGGGUAAUGGCCUUCCAAGGCGACGAUCUAUAGCUGGUCUGAGAGGAUGAUCAGCCACACUGGGACUGAGACACGGCCCCGACUCAUGCGGGAGGCGGCAGUGGGGAAUCUUGCGCCAUGGGCGAAAGCCUGACGCAGCCAUGCCGCGUGAAUUAUGAAGGUCUUAGGAUUGUAAAAGUCUUUCACCGGGGACGAUAAUGACGGUACCCGGAGAAGAAGCCCGGGCUAACUUCGUGCCAGCCGCCGCAGUAGAAC